rnacentral:rRNA from 1 species
CAAUAGCGUAUAUUAAAGCUGUUGCGGUUAAAAAGCUCGUAGUUGGAUUUCUGUCAAGGACAACUGGUCCGCCCUCCGGGUGAGCACAUAGUUUGGUCUUGGCAUCUUGCUGGAAGCUGUUGCUGCACUUGGCUGUGUGGCGCAGCGUCCAGCACUUUCACUUUGAGGAAAUUGGAGUGUUUCAAGCAGGCACAUGCCUUUGGACACAGUAGCAUGGAAUAAUUAGAUUGGGCUCUUGCUCCAAUUUGUCGGUUUCUGGAGCUGAGGUGAGAAUUAAUGGGGAUUGUUGGGGGCAUCCGAAUUUAGCCGUCAGAGGUGAAAUUCUUGGAUCUGCUAAAGACGGACAACUGCGAAAGCGUUUGCCCAGGAUGUUUUCAUUGA